AGAAUACUGAAGUCAUGUUCCUAAAACAGAAAUGAUACAGAGUAGAUUAGUCCAGUUCCUGCAGAAGGACAACACACACAUUCAUGAAGUAUUCUACGCAUGU
rnacentral:snRNA from 1 species